UACAGAGGGUGCGAGCGUUAAUCGGAAUUACUGGGCGUAAAGAGCGCGUAGGCGGUCAUGUAAGUCAGGUGUGAAAGACCUUAGCUUAACUAAGGAACUGCAUUUGAUACUGCAUAACUAGAGUAUGGUAGAGGAAAGUGGAAUUUCCGGUGUAGCGGUGAAAUGCGUAGAUACCGGAAGGAACACCAGUGGCGAAGGCGGCUUGCCAGAACGCGCUCGACGGUGAGGGAUGAAAGCUGGGGGAGCAAACCGG
rnacentral:rRNA from 1 species